GUGGGGAAUAUUGCACAAUGGGCGCAAGCCUGAACCAGCCAUCCCGCGUGGAGGAAGACGGCCCUAUGGGUUGUAAACUUCUUUUCAAGGGGAAGAAAGUUCGCGACGUGUCGCGAUUUGCCGGUACCUUUGGAAUAAGCAUCGGCUAACUCCGUGCCAGCAGCCGCGGUAAUACGGAGGAUGCGAGCGUUAUCCGGAUUUAUUGGGUUUAAAGGGUGCGUAGGCCGAUCGAUAAGUCAGCGGUGAAAUACCAUGGCCCAACCAUGGAACUGCCGUUGAUACUGUCGGUCUUGAAUAUGGUCAAGGUAGGCGGAAUGUGUAAUGUAGCGGUGAAAUGCUUAGAUAUUACACAGAACACCGAUUGCGAAGGCAGCUUACUGGUCCAUUAUUGACGCUGAGGCACGAAAGUGUGGGGAUCGAACAGGAUUAGAAACCCUGGUAGUCC
rnacentral:rRNA from 1 species